rnacentral:misc_RNA from 1 species
UGAGGCACUUCAGGUGUUUGAGAAGAUGGGAGGGAGUGGAACUGAUGGGGUUCUUGUUAAACCAGACCUUGUUCUCUACAAUACAUUGAUUGAUGGACUUUGCAAGGUAGGGAAACAAGAAGAAGGGUUAAAGUUGAUGGAGAAGAUGAGAUUGGAGAAUGUAUGUGUACCUAAUACUAUUACCUACAAUUGCUUGAUAGAUGGUUACUGCAAAGCAG